rnacentral:rRNA from 1 species
GACGGAGGAUGCAAGCGUUAUCCGGAGUGAUUGGGCGUAAAGAGCUCGUAGGUGGCUCGUCACGUCGGGUGUGAAAGCCCGGGGCUUAACCCCGGGUCUGCAUUCGAUACGGGCGGGCUAGGGUCCGGCAGGGGAGACUGGAAUUCCUGGUGUAGCGGUGAAAUGCGCAGAUAUCAGGAGGAACACCAGUGGCGCAGGCGGCGUCCUGGACCGGCACUGACGCUGAGGAGCGAAAGCGUGGGGAGCGAUCCGG